rnacentral:rRNA from 1 species
UUUUUACAAUGGAGAGUUUGAUCCUGGCUCAGGAUGAACGCUAGCGGCAGGCCUAACACAUGCAAGUCGAGGGGCAUCACGAUUGAAGCUUGCUUCAAUUGGUGGCGACCGGCGCACGGGUGCGUAACGCGUAUGCAACCUACCCAUAACAGGGGGAUAACACUGAGAAAUUGGUACUAAUACCCCAUAAUAUCAGAUAAGGCAUCUUAUUUGGUUGAAAGCUUUGGUGGUUAUGGAUGGGCAUGCGUUGUAUUAGCUAGUUGGUGAGGUAACGGCUCACCAAGGCGACGAUACAUAGGGGGACUGAGAGGUUAACCCCCCACAUUGGUACUGAGACACGGACCAAACUCCUACGGGAGGCAGCAGUGAGGAAUAUUGGUCAAUGGACGGAAGUCUGAACCAGCCAUGCCGCGUGCAGGAUGACGGCUCUAUGAGUUGUAAACUGCUUUUGUAUAAGGGUAAACCCAGAUACGUGUAUCUGGCUGAAAGUAUUAUACGAAUAAGGAUCGGCUAACUCCGUGCCAGCAGCCGCGGUAAUACGGAGGAUCCAAGCGUUAUCCGGAUUUAUUGGGUUUAAAGGGUGCGUAGGCGGUUUGAUAAGUUAGAGGUGAAAUCCCGGGGCUCAACUCCGGCACUGCCUCUAAUACUGUUGGGCUAGAGUGUAGUUGCGGUAGGCGGAAUGUAUGGUGUAGCGGUGAAAUGCUUAGAGAUCAUACAGAACACCGAUUGCGAAGGCAGCUUACCAAACUAUUACUGACGUUGAGGCACGAAAGCGUGGGGAGCAAACAGGAUUAGAUACCCUGGUAGUCCACGCAGUAAACGAUGAUAACUCGCUGUCGGCGAUACACAGUCGGUGGCCAAGCGAAAGCGAUAAGUUAU